rnacentral:lncRNA from 1 species
GUAGGGCUAGGUUUAAACCAGAAUUUAUAAAAUGAUUAACAGAUUCCCUAGGUGUAGCUAAAAGUUCAUUAUCUUUUUGAUUAAAAGAUAGGACCUCGGCUAUGGAAAAGGGUUGGUUUUGACCUAUUGCAAUCAACUCCGGACACAUAUCAUAAUUAGGGGCAGGACUUGUUGACUCCCAUGGUCUAUGGCUAGUCUCCGAAGGUGCAAAGAAUUCAAUAAUAGGUAUGGAAUUUAAGUUAUCCAUAAUGAUAGAAAAAAUAAAAAGAUAAAAUAAUAAAAGUAUAAAAGUAUAAUACAAGAUAAUAGCAAGACUUAAAGUUAUCUCAGCAAACCGUCUUUCUCCCCGGCAACGGCGCC